rnacentral:rRNA from 1 species
AACGUAGGAGACAAACGUUAUCCGGAGUUACUGGGCGUAAAGGGCGUGUAGGUGGUUACGUAAGUCUGGCGUGAAAUUUCUCGGCUUAACCGAGGCAGGUCGUCGGAUACUGCGAGACUAGAGGACAGUAGAGGCGUGUGGAAUUCCGGGUGUAGUGGUGAAAUGCGUAGAGAUCCGGAGGAACACCAGUGGCGAAGGCGACACGCUGGGCCGUACCUGACACUGAGGCGCGAUAGCAUGGGGAGCAAACAGG